CAAUUUGUUACCUGCAAAGUUCUGAAAUUGCUGUACCAAGAUUUGUUUAGAAUAAGUCCCACAUCACUUUUUUCCAGCAAACGAAAAUUAUAGGAAAAAGAGUUAUAAUUUGUUCACAAGGAGUCCACACAUGUAUAAGGUCCAGACAAGAAGCUGAAAUUAUUGAAGUUAUCAUUAACUCACCAGUAGAAGAGAUGAGAUUUAAUAAAGAACAAUCAGAGCUCUAGACAAUGAUAAGAUGUGUGACUUACUAACUUAGCGAAUAACUAAUUCACUGAAAACACCAUAAGGAGAUCAAGAUCAAGAAUCACGAAGAUAAAUGACAGAAAUCCGUUAUCCGAGUGACAUAAAUAGAAUGCAAACCAAAAAUUCAUACAAAACCCAGUCACAUUAAUUCAAUUCACCUGAGAUAAGCAGGGAUCUUAAUGCGAAUAAAGAGCAUACUCAUUACAUAGGCGAUGAUCAGCGAUGAAAUCCCAGCGGAGGCAUAUGAAACCUUUACGCUCUUAGCACGAUUCUUGUCCAGCGCAAGAUCCAUAAGCACAAUUCCAAUUCCACCAAGCACAAACAUAAACCCAGAGGACAAACCCUCAAUGAUGUACUGCCCGUUGACACGGCCAGGUAGGAAGACAACAGGGCGAACGGAGCCGGUUGCCGGAUCCUGAGUAGAGCCUAUGCCUGGCGGCUCCACAAUUACGUCGUAGACGAUGCCGGAGACGACCAUGAAGUAGGUGAGGAGGACUAGAGCAAAGACGGUCAUCGGGGAGGGGAGAGUAAGGUUAGGAAGCUUGAGGCGGAGGCGGGGAGGGCGGAGGACGGAGAAAGGUACGAUUUUGAGGAUGUGGAAAAUUGGAUCCAUAGAGAUCAGAGUUGGGUCCGUUAGGGUUUGGGAAGCCAUUUUGGUUCUGAAUCCCUGAACUGUGAUUCUGUAAGGUUUUCCUUGAGGGGAGGCACUAACAUGUAGCCUG
rnacentral:misc_RNA from 1 species